rnacentral:rRNA from 1 species
AGUUGCCAUCAUUCAGUUUGGGCACUCUAGCGAGACUGCCGGUAAUAAACCGGAGGAAGGUGGGGAUGACGUCAAAUCAUCAUGCCCCUUAUGACCUGGGCUACACACGUGCUACAAUGGUUGGUACAACGAGUUGCGAGUCGGUGACGGCGAGCUAAUCUCUUAAAGCCAAUCUCAGUUCGGAUUGUAGGCUGCAACUCGCCUACAUGAAGUCGGAAUCGCUAGUAAUCGCGGAUCAGCACGCCGCGGUGAAUACGUUCCCGGGCCUU